rnacentral:tRNA from 2 species
CGGAGCGUAGCGCAGCUUGGUAGCGCGCUUGCCUGGGGGGCAAGAGGUCGCAGGUUCAAAUCCUGUCGCUCCGACCA